UACGUAGGGUGCGAGCGUUAAUCGGAAUUACUGGGCGUAAAGAGUGCGUAGGCGGUUCGUUAUGUCUGCUGUGAAAGCCCCGGGCUUAACCCGGGAAUGGCAGUGGAAACUGGCGGGCUUGAGUGUGGCAGAGGGGGGGUGGAAUUCCGCGUGUAGCAGUGAAAUGCGUAGAGAUGCGGAGGAACACCGAUGGCGAAGGCAGCCCCCCUGGGCUAACACUGACGCUGAGGCACGAAAGCGUGGGGAGCAAACAGG
rnacentral:rRNA from 1 species